AAAGAGAAGAAGAAACA
rnacentral:sRNA from 1 species